rnacentral:rRNA from 1 species
CCUACGGGUGGCAGCAGUGGGGAAUCUUGCACAAUGGGCGAAAGCCUGAUGCCGCAACGCCGCGUGAGCGAAGAAGGCCUUUGGGUCGUAAAGCUCUUUCCUAAGGGAAGAAGGAAGUGACGGUACCUUAGUAGUCAGCCCCGGUUACCUACGUGCCAGAGGCCGCGGUACUACGUAGGGGGCACGCGUUAUCCGGAUUUAUUGGGCGUAAAGAUUACGUAGGGGGUUCUUUAAGCGUAGGGUUUAAGGCGAGGGCUUAACCAUCGUUCGCCCUGUGCACUGGAGGACUUGAGUAUCGGAGAGGAAAGCGGAAUUCCUAGUGUAGCGGUGAAAUGCGUAGAUAUUAGGAGGAACACCAGUGGCGAAGGCGGCUUUCUGGACGAAAACUGACGCUGAGGUACGAAAGCGUGGGGAGCAAACAGGAUGAGAUACCCGUGUAGUC